CAGUCGCCGCGGUAAUACGAAGGGUGCAAGCGUUAAUCGGAAUUACUGGGCGUAAAGCGUGCGUAGGCGGUUUGUUAAGUCUGCUGUGAAAUCCCCGGGCUCAACCUGGGAAUGGCAGUGGAUACUGGCAAGCUAGAGUGUGUCAGAGGAUGGUGGAAUUCCCGGUGUAGCGGUGAAAUGCGUAGAGAUCGGGAGGAACAUUAGUGGCGAAGGCGGCCAUCUGGGACAACACUGACGCUGAGGCACGAAAGCGUGGGGAGCAAACAGGAUUAGAUACCCCCGUAGUCCCUGUCUCUUAUAC
rnacentral:rRNA from 1 species